rnacentral:lncRNA from 1 species
GGACGCGUUGUGUCGAAUAAAUAUUGGUUCAAUAAUAUCUCAGAUACCGGAGCUUGUGAGUUCAUUACAGACUUAAUUACAAAGUAACAAGCCGAGAUGGUCCAUGGAGCAACUGCCAGUCCCAGACUCAGAGACCUCUGUAUAUACAGCUUCAGUCUGGCAUAACAUACAUAGUCACUCCUCUUUAUCUAAAUGAUCCACACCGUUUAGUAUUCAGACCUUUUGCACAAUGUAGCAACGCCCACUUCCGCUCAACUUCCUACCACCCGAUAUAUAGCUUCCUCUCCCGAUCGCGUCCUGUCAGCCUGUUUGUAGCCAUACUAGCCUCGUUUUAUCUUUAUCUCAGUAUAUUAAUAUAAUCAUAUUUCUAUAGUGUUUUUUAAUCAUUCUUGUUGAAAAUUCUGCUUAUCCGUUCAGUUAGUGAUUUUUGUAAUUCGAUUAUUGUGUCAAGGCGCUUGCAAGAGCUGCCAAAGAUAACAGUGACGGAUGUACAUCGUCUGGCCAAGACAAGUAGCAAAGCACCGACCUCCAAGUUGGAAAAAGGAUUCAAACUUUGUAUUCAGUUACCUUUUCAACUAUGAAGGUAACUUAAGUAUAGCCAAGUUGCCUAUCAGACCAGACAAGGACGUUUACUGAAAGCUGUAACGUAGUUUAAGACAUGCCUUUUACAGUAGAUAGCUAACAUUAUGAUUGCUCAUUAUUUUUAUUCCAAACCGUUUCGAACAGGGACAAAGUGACGAGAGGUCAGCGUAAGGGCUUGCUGCUACAGGUCCAUGAGGAAAAAUGAGAAACCACACAGUUUGAGUAUAGUGUGAAAAGUCAGCUGUUUGUGACACACUAUAUGCCGGUUACACAGUCAGAGAUGAAGCCUAGUCUUAGACUAAGAAGUUUCUGUCAAUGGAGAUCUGCAUUAAGAGGCAUUGCUUUGUCUAGGACUAGGCUUAACCCAUGUCUAUGAAACCGUUCUUAGUGUAGUAAUUGUUCAGUUGUCUUUGUCGUUGAAAUAUUCAGUCAAUAAUAUUUCUCAAAUAUCGGAGCCUGUGAGUUAAAAUAGACUUUAUUACAAAGUAAUAAAAGCCGAGCUGGUUCAUGAAGAAACUGCCUUCCCAGCCUUGGCACACACUUGUUAUACAGUUUUCAUCCUUACGUCACACACAUAGUAACUCCUCUUUAUGUUAAUGAUUCAUCCACUCUGGCAUGUAGCCACCAUUAUCUUUUUGCCUUGCACUAAUUUUAGCUUGACUUCACAUUAGGGCAUAGAUUCCAUUGCUGGUGUAACCAUAGCAACAGUAAAUAUUAGGCCAUAACAAUAGUACAAAAAUAAACAGACAUGCAGACUCCCAAGACAGGUGCAUGUCUAAUGGUGCCUAAUGACCUAGACACACAUAUAGAGUGCACUUAUUCUGCUUACUACUCUAAGAUGUCACACAUGGACUGGAAAGUUUCCAAUAUCUUCCUUGCUGUUGAUGUAAGCUCUGUUAUGUUGGACGCAUAAGAUCAAAUUUAAACAAGGGCAUAUACCCUUAAUAGAAAAGUUUAAACCUGUAUUGCUGUAAUUAAUUUAGUGGCUGUUGCAUGUUGCGCCAGUCACUUCUGUUUGCUGGUCGUGACUCAUGUUGAGGGAUUUUAUAGUCUAAUCAUUUUCUUUUUAUAUCCCCACAUAUGUUGUACUGAAGCCCUCUGAGCCAGUAACAAUGACACAACAUCACUGUUCAUGUGUUGCUGGCACUGCAUUAUGCAACCACACAGUUGCAUUACUAUUCCAGUCUGCACACUAUUCCCAAAUGGGAACACUAGUCGUCCCACCUGUGCACAGCUGCACAGAGGCCGAGCAGCAGUGGUAUAAGCCAAGGACUAUGGUGUCUCCGGAAGGUGGUGAUUGACUCCGCUGUCCUGGCGUCGUGAGGGAGCUUGUUCCACCAUUGGGGUGCCAGAGCAGCGAACAGUUUUGACUGGGCUGAGCGGGAACUGUGCUUCCUCAGAGGGUCUGCAACCUGGGCCCAUAGACAAAAUGACCAUCACCGAGCCCACCAAAAAUCGCAUGGCAGAAGGAGGGAUUAGGUGGUUUCAAGUACAUUGUUUAGAUUGGGAAACCACAGCGGCUGCUUUGCAGAAGUACACUCUACAGUGCCCUUCUUGGAACGCUCCCUGACCUCUCAGUUCUCCAGAUAGAAGAGGCAUACAAAAGCUUUGACCCUCUAUCCAAGCCAUUGAUCUGCAGCAUGGGGAUGUCUGCUGAAAAGCUUUUAGUCGACUCCCACUUUGGAAAGGUACAGGUGGGGAGCCUUCUGUCUUACCAGCAGCCUCCAAUCACAACGUGACACAUAGUUCACCAUAAGGAGACACCACCAUUCCCUUCACUGCCCGGAGAGCAACUUUCAAGGCUGCACAUUUAUGCUCAGUGAAGAACACCAGCUUCACAUAGUCUCUUCAGCCAGCCAGCCAGCCAGCCAGGUAGAAAAAUGGCAGAAAAAUAAAAGACGGACAUCAGAGUAUUUUUCAAUACACCAAAGCAGAGCAGGCAACAGAUGGCACACAGAGAGCAGAGUUGGGGACAGAUAUACAGGGACAGACUGGCAGAGACAGGGAGUCUCAGAGACAUAUUGAGCAACCAAGUGAUACCAAUCACGACCACACCCAGAGGACAGAUGGCAGACUUAAGAACUCACACAAAAAUGUCAAGACAUGAAGGCGCCCUAGCCACACGAACUGACCACUGGUGUAAAGAACAACAUUCCAUGAAUAUCGCAAGCACCCAGACACGAAUUACCAGAAAUACACACACACACACACACACACUUAGGUGUGUUGGACUCCGAGGACAAAGGACACUGCCAAGGGCCAAUGGGAAGUUGACACCACCUGGAGAAUGGACCGUCCACCGUCCACUCAUCGACCAGUCAGGAGAGAGGACCUACUAGACUCAACGUCAACACACUGUUAUUUCAUUGUAUAAAUUGGAUGUACACUAUGUUUCGGGGCUCUCUCUUCUGCUAGUUCCCUAAGAGCUAAACGAACGAGCCUGUGCACGCUCAGCCAAAUAUCUUUGUCUCAUAAUAAACUGCCUUACUAUAUACUGAAUCCACCUGGUCCAUCGUCUUGACUUGGUUUCCUUCUCAAAUAACUAAUCAUCAACAAAAUUGGUAGCAGAGGAUGGUUUCAUACUUCUGAAAUUCGGUCCAUUUAGUGGUUGAUGUGAGAGGAGAGAAGUUUGGGACAAUUUCGCAAGGACGGGUGACCUGUUCGCAGGAGACAUCGGCGAUUCUGCCCGCCCCAGGAAACUGAUCAACGAGCUCGACUAUAUAAGGUAAGCAGAGCCUGUUAAAACAAAAUCUGCAUAUUGUAAUAUAGUUUUAUUCAAAUUCUGAUCAGUAGUACUGGGAGUGAGUAUGAAUUGUUGUCUAAAUUGUAAUAAAUGUAAUUAAAAUGUUAAGGCCGAACACAAAGAUAUUUGACUGAAUAGAUUUUAAGUUAUUUAAGAGCCUGUGUGCCGUCCUGUGUGGACCCGUCCUGUGUGGACCCGUCCUGUGUGGACCCGUCCUGUGUGGACCCGGCCUGUGUGGGCCCAUCAUUGAUAGAAUAUAUCUGUUGACUUGGGGGACGACUGACGUGGCAACCAGUUGAGUCCACCCAUAUUAUUCAGAUCAAUUAAAAGUAGAUAAAGAGUCUGUGUGACAUACUUUUGAUAGCAUAAUCAUUUGUGACAUUGGAGGACGGCUGGAGUGGCAACCUGCCGGGACCACCAAUGAAAAGUCGGAUGAAUUUAAAAAUAAAAUAAUAUUGUUAUAACUGUUUAGCUAUGUCCCGGAUGUCAGCGAACUAUUCUCUGCCCGGUAGAUUGUAUAGGUGACACAAUUUGUUAUAUUGUAUUUGUGAUAUCUGAUGGAACUUUAUCUUAAGGGUCCAAUAAUUAUUCUCUGUCUGGUAAAUGGGUGCGAAAUAAGGGUUUGUUCCAUGAGACAUAAACAACUAAGUCGAUAACCGAUUAGGACUGAAACAAUUCUGAAAUAAAGUAGAGGGGCCGCCGUGCUGUCGGGAUUGGGGUGUAUUAGACAAACCAUUUGGCAAUUAUUAACACUUUGUUUACGAGGGUGAGGCACCAGAGUUAAGUCGGUGUCCGCACCGAGAAUACAUCGCUGGUCCCAACCAGCGACGGGCUAAGUUUACAAAGCUAGAGGGACUAAAUUGUAAAACAUAAUGGCAAUAAGCCAACCAAUUAAACUUAAAUUUUGUGAAUUUUUGGAUAAAAAAAUACAGGAUAGAGCAGGAGGUAAGGAACAAUAUAAGGCAAUACGGAAAGUGUGGGAGGAAGUAAAGUUGAGAUGGACACAGGCAGGAUACUUUAGCGGGGGGGCUCCGACUAAAGGCCAAUUGAUGGAGAUGGAGGCAGGUUUAAAGGAGGGAGUUAAAAAAAGCACAGAAAAUGAAAAGGAAAGAAAUAAAACGUAUAUGUUUAAAAAAGAAGGAACCAAGAACAGAGAGAAGGCGGAGGCAGAGUUGAGAAUAGGGACCUGGGCGAUAGAGGAGACUAGAAGGGCACUCCCUUAUAAAAAACCAGACAUGAUGGGGAUUGUGACUUCUACAGAGACCGACUCAAACACAGGACCAAAACAAGAUGGAGAGACCCCCCUGCCGACGACCCGGUUAUAUCCGGAACUACCAACCGAACCACCACCCUACACUCAAGGGCCCACAGUGGGGGGGAAGUCGUUGAACCCUUUCAGAACGGGACCAUUCACCCCGCCACCUGCUGUACAGGCUCCGGUAUUCGCCGUAAAGGGUGGAGAAUUAAUGGGGUCCGUCACAAUGGGUGUAAAGGGUGGACACUUGGUCUGCGAGGAAGUUGAAGAAGAAGGAGAGGGAAGUGAAGGAACCUCCUCCCUCAUGACCAUGCCGGGAGGAAAAUACAGCUCAACCCCAAGACCGUUCACUCCUGACUUCAACCCACAACACUAUGUGAGAUGUGGGUUCACUUCCCCAAAGACUAGUUUGGUAUCCCGUAACUCGCACGACAAUCUACCAAGCGAGAAUGAAGAAGGAGGAACGAGUCACACCCCCAGAGACAUGGAGAUCGACAACCUACGAAGGGAGGUGAAUGAGUCACUAGCCCUGGCGAAAUCCCUGAUUGAAAAAUCUGAAAAGGAAGGAGGAACUUUCCAUGUGGAGGGGGUGAUGACUGGAAAGAUAACGGACCUGGUUGACCCGGUCAGAAAGUCAGUCCGUCUGGAGAACCUAAGGGCUCAGGGAGUGACUUCAAGGACAGACUGGGAUCAGAACGGGGGUUAUAGCUCCGCCAUGCAGCUACCACUCAGGCCCACAACAGACCCCCGAUUCGAAGAGUACCAGCCAUGGAAAAUGACAGAUCUCACCACCCUGAUGGAACAACUGCCUAGCCUUCAUGGAGGGGCUUCUGCGUGGCUACUCCAGCUCCAGACACUUACCUCUGGUCUGCGCCUGUGCCUGGGAGACAUGAAGGCUCUACUGGCCAGGGCAACAGACCAUGUGACCAUGUCCUCAUUGGUAAAGGAAGCAGAUCUGGACAAAGCCCCUCCCACGGCACCACUGGAGGACAUUCGUCAGGCACUAUGGGGUGUGUUGCGUCGGGCAUAUCCAACUGAGAAGAACCAUGCAACCCUGUCCUCUUUUACCAUCACUCCGGGGGAACAACCUGCGGCUUACUUGGACAGGGCAAAAACAACAUGGAGGACUGUGCAUGAGGAACCAUAUGACCACACUGAAACCACGCUCAGCAUGUGGAAAGAGAUGGUGGUGAAUGGGUGCCCUGGAGAAGUGAAAGUGAAACUCAGGAACACUGUGGGACUGAUGGCACUUCCCCUGCCACAGUUCAACUCUCACACUCACCACCACCUCACCCAAUACUACAAAGACAAGGGGGGCGCGGACACUCAAGUCCAGUCCCUUCAAGUACAACUACUGAAAUUGCAAUUGAAAGAAGCCCAGAAGGGUGAUAAAAAAAAACAGAUGAUGGAAAAACCAGAAGAUUUGUCUCAGGUCAUCGAGAAAACCGUAACACAGAUGAUGCAGCAACAGCAGACUCAGCCGACUCCCGUCGCCGAGGGGGUCCCUCAAGUGAUGCAGCCCAUGCCCCAACCCAUGCCUAUGGCAGCCCCAGGGAUCUACCCACCACCACAGCUGGGUUAUCCAACACCAUGGAUGACUCAGCCGGCCUAUCCAACACAGUGGCGAGGGGGUCAAUGGAGGGGGGGAGGUAUGCAAUGCUACAAUUGCAGACAACAUGGGCAUAUGGCUCGAAACUGCCCGCAGGCACUGACCCAAUCUACUCAACAAUGGCUGGCUAACAGAGGAAGCUCUCAGUUCAUGGGUAGGGGAAGAGGUGGGCCCCGCCCACAACGUUACCCUGGACCACAGCCUCAUCCUGCAUAUAAUCACGCCAACCCGGAUCCCGGUCAACAAUCGUCCAGCUUCCAGGGUAUGGCUGAUGAAUACGCACCAUGGCCAUGAAGAUGCCCACCACCACCUGACGGGGGAGGACGGGAGCUCUUUCCACUCCACACUGAACCCACUGUUCUGUGUGAAGUUGAGGGAGUAACCCAUCAAUUUCUAGUUGACACUGGCUGUACAUACUCCGCAAUCCGAUCCCGUCAACAACUAUCUUCGGAAUUCAUUCAGGUGGUGGGGGUGACUGGUAACCCCGAAGCUCAAAAGAAAACAGUUCCCUUAACCUUCUCGUGGGGAAGUAUGAUGCAUACUCAUCAGUUCUUGUACUGCCCUAACUGUCCAAUCAAUCUGUUGGGAAGGGACCUCUUGUGCAAACUACAAUGCUCCAUAUAUCUUACACACAAUGGGGUAGAAGUCACCACGGGCCCCGUUCCCUCCACCAUGGCCAAACCGGUUAAAGUCCUCAUGCUUCCAAUUUUACCAGCCCCUGUCCUGUCGGCUACACAAGAAAUCUAUUGGCUUAAGUGUGUCCAGACAGGAAUAGGGACCCCACGCAUCCAGUUCCAAUUUAAUCAGCUGAAACCAAGAAUCUACACGCUACAUCCAUACAAGACACCACUGGCAGAGGUACACUGUACCCUGAACGUCACAGAAAAUGACGACAACCCAUACACAGAUGACUGGGAUGAAAACAUGAUGCCCCUCACGCCUACCAUUAGGUGCUGCACCAUUGUUUGUGGACAAGAGGGGGUAGCAGCCCCAGUCAUAUUACAACCUCACCUGAAGUCCUGGUAUCUGUUGGGAGCAGAGUCCGCACCACACGUCACACUUGCUGUCGGAAACGGCUUUGAGGCCCGAAGUCUGGGUCCAAUGAUAAGACGUGCAUCCAAACUUCAGUGGGAACCUACAUCUACUCCGGGCAUAAAUAAGACUACAACCGAGAACGUGGGGAAUCUGCAAGCCUGAACGCCUCACCCUACCAAGACACCAUGGUAAACCCUACACAGAUCACCCAUCAACUGCGGCACUGCUCUCAACAGUAGACGAAAAGAUUUGGACAACCUCCCCAUUUGACGUCGGACAACUCCAGGUGGAGCCAGUUACCAUCACUCUGCAGGACCCAGGACAGCAGCCUGUUUUCCGGACUCAGUACCGUUUGAAGCCCGAACAGAUCACCGGGAUCAAACCAACUAUUGAAGGACUGCUAGGUGCAAGAGUAAUCUACGCAACC